UACGAAGGGUGCAAACGUUGCUCGGAAUUAUUGGGCGUAAAGCGCACGUAGGCGGCUUAGUAAGUUGGAUGUGAAAUCCCUCGGCUUAACCAAGGAAGUGCAUCCAAAACUACUGAGCUUGAGUACUAAAGAGGAUCGCGGAAUUCCUGGUGUAGCGGUGAAAUGCGCAGAUAUCAGGAAGAACACCCGUGGCGAAGGCGGCUCUCUGGGACGUGACUGACGCUGAGACGCGAAAGCGUGGGGAGCAAACAGG
rnacentral:rRNA from 1 species